GCUUCUAUGACGUUAGCGGCGGACGGGUGAGUAACACGUGGGCAACCUGCCUGUAAGACUGGGAUAACUUCGGGAAACCGAAGCUAAUACCGGAUAGGAUCUUCUCCUUCAUGGGAGAUGAUUGAAAGAUGGUUUCGGCUAUCACUUACAGAUGGGCCCGCGGUGCAUUAGCUAGUUGGUGAGGUAACGGCUCACCAAGGCAACGAUGCAUAGCCGACCUGAGAGGGUGAUCGGCCACACUGGGACUGAGACACGGCCCAGACUCCUACGGGAGGCAGCAGUAGGGAAUCUUCCGCAAUGGACGAAAGUCUGACGGAGCAACGCCGCGUGAGUGAUGAAGGCUUUCGGGUCGUAAAACUCUGUUGUUAGGGAAGAACAAGUACGAGAGUAACUGCUCGUACCUUGACGGUACCUAACCAGAAAGCCACGGCUAACUACGUGCCAGCAGCCGCGGUAAUACGUAGGUGGCAAGCGUUAUCCGGAAUUAUUGGGCGUAAAGCGCGCGCAGGCGGUUUCUUAAGUCUGAUGUGAAAGCCCACGGCUCAACCGUGGAGGGUCAUUGGAAACUGGGGAACUUGAGUGCAGAAGAGAAAAGCGGAAU
rnacentral:rRNA from 1 species